AAUAAUGGGCUUUUAAAGAGUUGGGUCUAAGUUAAAAAGGGCUAAAAUUAGAUAACUCUUAUGAGGCUUUUUUUAUCCUAAUUUUUCUGUUUCUAAAACUUCCUAACGUCAAAUUAUGAUACUUGAAAAUAAAAAUUCCCAAUUUCCCCAAAAUUAUGAACCCUAAAAAAAAUUCCCAGAUUCCGUUAAUCUUGUUGCUGCUCACGUGAAUCUUCUUGCUGCUACUCUCAAUCUUCUUGGUGUUGUUCUCAAUCUUCCAUUUAUCACCCUUCUUCUUUAAUUAUUGCUUGUGGCAGUUUCAUUGUCUCCUUCUCGAACUAUGGAAAGUGAAGCAACUAUAACGUCAAUGCCGAUACAUCAGAUGAUGAGGUUGAUGAAUCUAAUGCCGCCCGUAAAAGGAGUAGGAAAUCUAAAGUUUGGCAAGAAAUGACGGAAGGAAAGAAUGCAAACAAAUCGCUAUUUGUAAGCAUUGUAAAGUGGAGUUAAUUGCCCACAAAAAUAGUGGCACAUCUCAUUUAAUACGUCAUUUGCUUGAAGUGUGUAAAAAACGAACUAAUGGACUUCCACUUGGGGAGGCGAUUGAUGAUGAGGUUUGCAAAGUUGUUGUUGGGUGAAGAUAUGUCAGGUGGAGCAGCUAGCAGACUUGGAAAGAUAUGUGGAACAGCUAGCAGCCUUGGAACAAUUAUAAUAUAUGUAGAGCAGCUUCGAGUUUCAUAAGUAUUAAGUGUCUAAUUUGUGUCAAGAACAUUGCUUAGUUACUUGAUUGUAACAAAUUUGUGUCAAGAACAUUCCUCAGUUCUCUACUUUUAACUUGUUGGCUAAGGCCCUUUAUAAGGCCCCUUAAAGGCCCUUUAUAA